rnacentral:rRNA from 1 species
ACCCCGGUCCGAACCYUACGGKKGGCCGCGUCGAAUYAUUCAUUGGGCAACUAUKGUCACCCGGGGAGAUGACGUCUCGAUGUAUCCGUCAUUUGGAGUAAGCUGGCGAUAAAUAGUCGACAGGCUGAUAGUACAGAAGAGAAGGGACGCUACUCGUGCCAGCAGCCGCGGUAAUACGAAGGUCCCAAGCGUGUUCGGAAUCACUGGGSGUAAAGGGAGCGUAGGCGGCGUGGUAAGUCAGAUGKGAAAUCCCGGGGCUCAACCCGGAACUGCAUCCGAUACUGCCAUGCUAGAGGAUUGGAGAGGUAGCUGGAAUUCUUGGUGUAGCAGUGAAAUGCGUAGAGAUCAAGAGGAACACUCGUGGCGAAAGCGAGCUACUGGACAAUUCCUGACGCUGAGGCUCGAAGGCUAGGGUAGCGAAAGGGAUUAGAUACCCCUGUAGUCCUAGCAGUAAACGGUGCACGCUUGGUGUGAGGGGAAUCGACCCCCCUUGUGCCGGAGCUAACGCGUUAAGCGUGCCGCCUGGGAAGUACGGUCGCAAGACUAAAACUCAAAGAAAUUGACGGGGACCCGCACAAGCGGUGGAGUAUGUGGCUUAAUUCGAUGCAACGCGAAGAACCUUACCAAGGCUUGACAUGCAUCUCUAAACACGUGAAAGCGUGUGACCCUUCGGGGAAUUUGCACAGGUGCUGCAUGGCCGUCGUCAGCUCGUGUCGUGAGAUGUUGGGUUAAGUCCCGCAACGAGCGCAACCCUUGUGAAUAGUUGCCAGCACGUCAUGGUGGGAACUCUAUUCGGACUGCCCAGAUCAACUGGGAGGAAGGUGGGGACGACGUCAGGUCAGUAUGGCCCUUACGCCUUGGGCUGCACACGUACUACAAUGCCCAGCACAAUGAGAACCGAUACCGCGAGGUGGAGGAAAUCUGUAAAACUGGGCUCAGUUCGGAUUGGAGGCUGCAACUCGCCUCCAUGAAGUUGGAAUCGCUAGUAAUGGGKCAUCAUCUACGGCCCCGUGAAUWCGUUCCCGGGUCUUGUACACACCSCCCGUCACAUCAUGGAAGCCGGUCGCACCCGAAGUGCCCGUACCAACCGCAAGGGGGUAGGGUYMUAAGSWGUAGCUGGUMAMUGGGAUGAAGUCGUAACAAGGUAACCGU